UGGUGGAGCGAUUAGUCUGGUUAAUUCCGAUAACGAACGAGACUCUGGCCUACUAAAUAGUCCACAGAUUCACCCACGUGGGAGUCUGUGUCGUGACUUCUUAGGGGAACAAGCGUCAACUAGGCCCGCGAGAUUGAGCAAUAACA
rnacentral:rRNA from 1 species